CAAAGUCAGACGCUCAACCGACUGAGCCACCCAGGCGCCCCCACCAUGUAGCAAGUCUUAAUAAAUAUUGGGUCCUAUUAUCCCUAUCUCAGGCACACCCUCCCACACAAAGGACAAUCACCACUAGGAGAAACAUCCAGAAAAUGAGGAAAGAUAACAGAGGCCAUCCUGGCCUCCUCUAAUGACAAAGCAAGGAAAUGACUAGACUCAGUGAGGUCUGAAUGUGAUGGAGAGAAAGGGGUCAGUGGAGCCAACACAUGGGGUUGAGCCAAGAGCCCCUCAGUGCGCAGUUUUCCAGGGAGAGAAUUACAGGAAGACGCAGCUUCCGGCAUUUAGAAGUGAGAAUGUUUUCAUCAUCAUUGUAAGGCCGAUUUUAAAUAGUUUGGCUAAUUAGGUGGUGAUUAAAUUAUACUGCUCCCAUAUGCUUGUGCUUUCUUCUCUGCAGAAUAUAUCUGCCCAAAAAGUUGUAGGUGAAUUAUAUGUUUGUAAAGGAAUGUUUUGAUUCUCUGCACAUAGUAAGCACUCAAAUGUAUUGAAUGGUUACCUAUUUUACAAAGCUAGGAACAAUCAUAAUAAUAGCAGCUAAUAAGCUGAUAAGGAUUUACUUUGCUCUUCACGGAAUUAUCUCAUUUAAUCCCACGAAGUUGGUAAUAUUAUUCUUUCCAACUAACUCUUGAAGAAAGCAAAGUCUAGAGGGCAAUGAAUUCUCGGUGUCAUCAAGAUCUUUCUGUCAUUUCUUUGUUUGCCUGUUUGGAUUUUUGUUGUUGGGUAUUCUUAGAAUGCACCUGCAGGAGAAGUGAUAGAAGUGACUUUCAAUACAGCUCUAAAUAGACGUGACUGCUAAAGAAUUAGGAGGAAUGGCAUAUGGCGAUGCUGAGGAUAGAGCCGUGGGCAUGGCGUGGGGACUGUCAGAGUAUGAUGGACAGAGGAGGCGUGGGGAGGAGGAAGAACCGGGAAGACUGAGCGGAAGCCACCCGUGAAGCAGACUCACCGUGAGCCCUUGGGCAGAGCGGUCGUGGGCAAGCCUGAAUGACCCUGGCUCUUCUUCACCUAAGACAGUCCUGGCUCAUCAUAAAUGAACCCCAAUCAUCUGUCUGGCGUCAUCUGUUAUUUCCUCCUCCCAGGCCUACUUUCCCGAUGUGGUAAACUACCUCCUGUUGGCAAAAUGUACUGUUUCUUUCCACAUGUCUCUGUUUUUACUCAUGGUAUAUCAGCUAUAUAAAAUGUCCUCUUUCAAGACCCAGCUGGUUAAUGUGCUAAAGCCACGACUUCUUUGAAUAUAGAUGAUCUCCAAUUCUUGUAAAAUUCUGCAAGAUAGGCUUAUUAUUUCCAUCUUGCAGAUGGAGAAACAGAGACUAAAUACUGAAGUCAGCAUUGCACAAGUAGAUCUAGGGCUAGCGGAUGGGUCUGCCUGAUUUUAAAGUCUGCUACUUUCUCCUUUUCCCGUGUCUGUAGAAAUUCCCAGUCACCUUUUGAGCUGCAGCCCUCAUGCUGUUUCCUCUGUGAAGCUUUAAUGGAAUUCCUCAGAUAAUUGCAUAUUCCUUUAUAGUCCUGUAACACUCUGUACACAUUACAAAAACACUAUUUAUUAAGGUUGUAUUCUGAUUACACGUCCGCGUGGUUGUCUUGCUCCGCCAGUAUGGGCUUCCUAAAGACAGGAAGAGGGUAUGUCUUUAUAUAUCUUUAUAAUGGUACCAUCACUCUAUGUCUUCGCAUUGCUUGUCAUAUAAUAUGCCCUUAAUGAAUUAUUAUUGAAUUAAUGAAUAAAUUAAUUAAUGCUCAGGAGCUCAUCUGUGAAGCUGUGAGCUUCCUCCUCCUUGCCAGAUUAUUGAUUCUGUCCUAAGUCUGUUCCCUGUUGGCGUCCCACACGGGCAUGAUGAGCAUUAACCAGAUGGCUAGCCACAGAGAUGUCCACCCUUGGACUCAAAGCCUGCUUCCCAAGCCAGGGUGCUGGAGACGACUGGAGACCAUCCCAGGCCCUUGGCUAUCUGGUGGCCCCAGUGGAGGCAGCAGCAGCAAAUCCAAGAACGAAGUGAAACUCUGGAUUUAGCCUUCAGGAUCUGACCUGGGAGCAGAAGUCUUUGGUUUUCCCAAUGCAACCCAUUUUACAGCCUUUGCUGAGUCACUUCCCAUCAGCAUUACUCAAACAAAGAUGCGCAUUAGGUGCCAUGGCUGCUCUGGCUGAUGCGUUUUCCAAAUGUGUGCUGUAGCCAAAUGUCUGAGCCCCAUCCAAUCCACAGUUUAUGUUUUAAUAUAAGCAAAGUCACACAACCUCUCAGAGACUCACCUACGGUUCUUGUCAAUCAUUCCUUGCCCUCUCUGCCGGUCUGUGACCUACCUUCUUUCAGAUUCCAUCCACUCUCCACCUUCAAGACAUGAUGUGGCUUGUUUCCAGAAACUGAGAUGGUUGCAAAAUAAGCUGAGCCAGCCUUUGUCACCAAAAGGGUUAAUAUCCUCCCCCCAGGGACUGACCACAGCUGAGCUGCCACCCAGGUGCAGAUAGUGACAAGUUUAUACAACCAAAUGGUGCAACAGUGCGCACCCUGAGUCUUGAAGAGGCAUUUUCUCCAAUGUUCUGGUCUUAAUGUACAAUGGCAAGAAAUCAUUAACUUUGAUUGUUGGUAUCGUUCUACCAGGAACACAGACUCCUUGCAAGAGUGACUUCUAUCUUGGCUUAUGCUGAUGGUCCCAAGUGUCACCCAGUUCUGUGAAAGAAGAAAGGAUGAAGGUGCAGAAAGCCAAUCUUUAAUGGAUCUGGAUGCGUUGUACACACCCCCACGCUAACCCUCCCAGCAGCUGUCAUCCCUACUGGACAGACGAGGUGAGAGGACCCAGAGAGGCUAAGCAGGCUGUCCGAGAUGGCAGACCCAGAGCUAACAGCUAGGAUGGACCCAAAUCUCACCACCUUUCCACAAGGAUUCACCAUCCUGAACCAGGAGAAACAGCUAAAAACCCUGGAUUCCAGCCCCGGUGCCAUCUAGACAGAGAUCACGUCAGAAUGGACCCUAGUGGAAAUUGAGCCUUUCAAAGUAACGUCAACUUGAUACUGGCACCUGGCCUUGGGUCUCUUUACAAAGGAAAGGGGAGGAGCAAAUUCAGGUAAACACCAGGAGAGAGGUAAUCCCCGUCCUCUGUGGCUCCUAGCACUGACCUCCACCAAGGCCAGCCUAUAAGGGUUGGUGUCAAUGAUGUAAACCUUGAAACUUGAUCCCUUCCCAGGGAACAGAAUGGGGGUGCGGUUCUUGAGAAACCAGACUGAAGAGAAAUUAGCCUUCACCAGCUGCUCCUGUAAUUGCAUUUAAAUUCAGUUAAACUAAUUUCUUACACUUGAUAAAAGCAGUUGUCUUUCCAAAUCAUCCUCAGACUCCUCCAUUCCAAACACAAUAUAAAUAUACCAUGGCCUGGUUAGAGAGGUCCUUCCUUCUGGGCCUCUUUGUCACCUUACCUCUGUUCUUGGCCCUUCGCUGGGGCACAGUUUUUUGUAAAGAGCUCAGAAAGCUGAACUGCCCUAUUAGCAUAAGAGUCUGUGACUCAUUGACUCACAGAUUGUAAAUCACACUCACAUGGGAUUUUAAUUAAUUAUAUUAAUUUUAGGGGAAACAACAAAACUGAAAAGUCUACAGUGCUUCAUUUACUGAGAAACUCUGAAAUGUCUUUUAUUUUUAGCAAGAGCCAUAAAAACAUCUCAUACUGAAAUAAUGCAAAAAUCAAGGAAGGGUUGUAUUACUCAGCGUGAUCGCGCCCUUUAAAAGGCUUUGACAUUUUCUUUAUUUUUGUAAGGUUUUUUAGAAAGAAAAAAAUAUAUAUUAUAUUACAUACACAUCUACACAUGCAUACGCUACCCAGAUCCUCUCUGCAAGAAUAUUCACUACUGACUGCAAUUUGGUGUAAGGUGGUUCUAUCUUAGACCCUCUCAAAGGGAGAUUAAUUACUAAAUUAUCAUAAAAAACAUGCAAUUAGUUAUCUUCAUUUAAGAGACUGCCCCAUGGUAAGAGACUCUCAAAUACUUGUAUGCACAUACACACUUCAUUCAUUGUUUAUUAUUCAUUUGCAUUUAUUCAUUUAGUCAAGCUAAUAUAUAUCAAGGCCUACUAUGUGCCUGACACCUUGCAGGGGCUGACAGUACAAGGUGAACUUAAUAAGACCAGUCUGGAGGUGGAGGUGCAUAGGGUUCCACAUGGUUAAGCAGCAUCAUAGAAUCAAGGGUACAGGGCUGUGGGAACAAGGAGGGAGCAUCUGAGGGCAUCAGAGAGAAAGGGACAGGACAGAGGGGCAGUGACAUAAAGGAAAGCCGAGAGUGAAGAUCUACAGGUUUUAGUUCAGGAAGUGACUCUUACCUGCCAUGUGUGUGUCAGACACUAGCCAGGUGCUGGGGAAGCCAGCAGUGAGCAAGCUAGACACAGCCACCCCUAUUUUGGAAUUUACAAUCUAAUUAGGAGACGUUAGUCAAAUAAUAACACAGGAAUAAAAUUGCUAUUUUGGUAAGAACCUUUAAGGAAAAAGUACAGGGGCUUUAAGAGUAUACACCAUGUAGCUAAGCUACAUGGUGAAAAUGAGGUUUGGCUUGCUUGAGAAAGUGACAAUAGAGCAGAGACCUGACAAAUUAACAGGCAUGGCCAGAGGAGGGAUGGUGGGAAGAGUGUUCCAAGUAGAAGGAACAGAUAGGCAAAGCACUAUUAGAGAAAGCUUGGAAUUUUCUAGAAACCAGGAAGAAGUCAGAGUGAGUGGAACACAACAAGGGAUGGUGAGGUGGGAGGUGGGGAGGUUAGACCCUUCUAAGACCAAGGUCAGAGAGGUGGGCAGGGACAAGAAUAUACAAAAUUUGGGCUUUAAGCUAAAAGUAGUAGAAGCACAGUAACACACUAAAAAAAAACCCACCCACAAUUUCUUUAGGGAAGAGAGUUAUGAAUUUAAAAGUGCCUUACAUUGUACCAGAAGCUCAAGAAAAUCAGUUAUUGUCCCUCUUUCUGUACCCAGCUCAGGUCCUUGACUAGGCUAAUGCAUGUAUUCUGCACCUACAUGUUGGUCUCCAGUAGUAUAUUUUGUACUGUUGGUUCUGAUUUUGAUUUUUAACCCAGUUUGUCAACUUGUCUCCUGCCUCCAUGACCAUUUAUGGUUUCUGCUAUGAUUAGCCAUCUGGAUGAUGGAAUAGCUCAUUCAUUCCAUGAUUCAUUCAACAAAUGCUUAUUGAAUACCCCUGUUGUACAAUGAUUUAUCCCUCAUUGAACUUACAGUUUCACAAAGGUAUAAGAUACAUGCAUAAAAAUUAUAAUAUUGAAUGUUAUACUGGAGGCCCUAGACAGUGCAAAGGAAGGGCAAGAAAAACAACAACAGUGUGUUCAUAGGACAUCUAAAAUAACAUACAGAUAAAUUAUUAGAAUUAAUGAGGGAUUUUUCCAGGGUAGCUAGAUACAAUAGCAAUAUACAAAACUCAAUGGUAUUCCUAUAAAUCAGUAAAUAAUUAUGUAAAACAUAUGAAGCAAUUAAUAUAAGUAUGUUUUUAACAUAUGGAAGAUAUGCACAGACAAAAUUUUAACACUGUAUUGAGAGAUAUUAAAGAAAACCUAAACAAAUUGAAAAAUAUACCAUAUUCAUGGAUGAGAAGACCCAAUUUUGGAAGGAUACUAAGUUUCUCCAAGCUGAUUCAUGGAUUCCAUGUAAUCUUAAUCCUAACCAAAAUUCUAGCAAAGUGUUGGUAGAAUUUGAGAAGUUGAUCCUAAAACUUAGAUGUAAACACAAAGAAUCUCUGACUCUUCUGAAGAAAAUAAUGAAGCAGAAAGACUUGCUCUACCAGACACCAGAUUUGUUUUAAAUUGUAGUAAAGGCAGCAUGGUCUUGGCACAGAAUGGACAGAUGGACUAAUGGAGCAGAAUAGAGAGAACAGAAAAAUGAUAAACACAUGUGUGGACAUUUGACAUAUGAAAAAGACGCAUGGCAGAUGAGUGAGGAGAGGAAGACAUUUUCAAUGAUGAAUUCCAGGUAGACUACAGAUCUAAGUGCAAAAGGUGAAACUAUAAGCUUUUAGAUGACAAUAUAGAAUAUUUUCACAUAAAAAAUAUAUGCAAUGUCUUCUUAAACAAGAUCAGAAAGGAAAGAUACAUGAGUUUGGCUACAUUAAAAUUAAGAACUUGUAUUCACCAAAGGAUUCUAUACAAAUAAUAAAAGGUCAGACUGUAAAUUGGAAGAAGAUGUAAAUAUGUUAUGUUACAGAAUAUGUAAUAUUUAAGUGUCAAUAAAUUGAAAAUCUAUUUUAAAAACCUACUCCAUAUCAAUAAGAGAAACUGAAUUCAAUAGAAAAAUGGACAAAACCCAAUAAAUUACCAAAAAUGAAAUCCAAAUGGCCAAUACAUAAGUGUAAAAGCAUUUUAUGGAUAAUGAGGGAAAUGCAAAUUAAAACCACAAAGAGAUAACACUACAUACUCAGGAGACUGGCAAGUAUUUAAAAGUUUGGCAAUACCAAGAUUGGAUAAGGUGUGUAAUAGUGAGAAGUCUCAAACACUGUGGAGUGGAAGGGAGGUGUAAGUUGGUACAACUACUUUGGAAAAGAAUUGUCGUUAUCCACUCCAUUUGAAGAUACGCACAGCUUAUAACUCUGUGCUUCUGUAUCACAUAUGUCCUAGAGAAACUCAUGUAUGUGUACACUUGGAUAAAUGUACCAGAAUGUUUAAGGCAGAAUUCCUGAUGAUAACUAAAAACUGGAAAUAAGCCAAAUGUUCUCUUACAAAGAAUGGAUAAAUAAGUAGGAUAUUCAUAAAAUGAGGACUGUAUAUCAAUAAAGAUAGAUGUAGCUAUUUGAAGCACAAAUGACUCUCAAACAGUGUUGAACAAAAGAUAAAAGGCAAAAGGAUACGAUGUGGAAUGAUUUCCAUUUGUGUAAAAUUUCCAGUUAUAAGGACAGGUAAAAUCAAACCAUAUUGUUUAUGGAGACAUGCCAAAGUGGUAAAACUAUCAAGUAAAGCCCAAAAAGAAUGAUCACAGAAGUCAGAACAAAAGUGGCUCCCAGGGUAGAGGGACAGGGAUAUGAGUGGAGAAGGUACCUGGAAGGCUUCCAGAUGGCUGGCCACAUUCUAAUUCUCGACCAGGUGGUGGUUACAGUAGGUUCAUGUUACUAUUAUUUGUAAAACUGUACACAGGUCCUUAAGAUAUUUUUCUGAAUGAAUAUUAUAUAUCCAAACCAAAAUUAUUUUGUGAAUUGCAUGUAUGAUUACAGUUUUCCUGUGGAUUUCCAGUCUUCUGGAAUCACUCUUCUCUUUAAUAUCCAAGUAAGAAUAAUGCAUCUCCAUCAUGUGUGACUGUGAUUUAGUGUGGCUGUGACUAGUCCCUAUCAUCAUGAAAGGCUUGUUAGUUUCCCGAUUAUUUUAAAUGGGCUCUCACUCUAAACUGCUGUCCCAGGCUGCACCUGGCCCACCUGACCAUUGUCCUCUCUUGAGAUGAUGGUGUUGUAAUCAAGUGACCUCAGAACAGGGUACUGGUGUUCUCCCCUAACCCUAUUCAAGCACAGAAACAGC